GGCCGAGAGGAAGGGGCGACGGGCUGCAGGGGGCACACUCCGAGGUGGCUCAGAAGCUUCCCGCUUUAAGGCUCGAAGUGCGUCUUGGAGGAACUGGUUCAGCGCCUGAUGGUUCGGGCGACACGUAAACAUUAACACCUAAAGCAGACACCGGGGACGUGAGCGCGCCGGGCGGGCCGAGGGAGUUUCCGUUCCUAGUUUGCAGCAGGUUCUCUCCUUUGCUUCUCGGCUGUUGGCAGACGCUUGAGUUUCUUAGCGGAAAUCCCGGCAAUUUGGGAAACUGUUUAAUGAACAUAUUAAAUAAAAAAAGUCUUAGGUAUUCCAUGUUGCAACAAAAGCCCAUUAAAUGAUUUUACAUCUGGGUUAGGAGGAAGCCACUCCUGGAUCCCUGAUAGAUCCUCCCCAUCCCGUUUCCUUUUAUUGAUGGGACACUUUUAUUUCCCGAAGUUAAAACACACAUUUGAUAGUUGCCAAAAUUGUGGAAAGAGAUCGUUCUCUGCUUUAACUUUCCCUUUUAAUGUGUACAGACUUUUACUUUGAGCCAAAAUAAUGCUGCUGAUGGUCUCUCCCGCCUCCCUAGCCUCCUUCACCCAUUCUUGGGGCAGCACUUUAUAAAAGCUUCGGCUUUCAUUUCUGUUUGGGACUUGUACAUUAGACGUUAGUGAUUCUUUUGUGCUAAUUGGAGAAGACGCCCUAGAGACUGAAGUUGUCUUCUGCAUUUAGGCUAGUUUGGGUGGCUAAUGAGACCUGAACUGUAUUGUCAAAGAAACUGCAUCGAUUUCUGGAAAAUGUCACAGUUGUAUUGGUGUCUCUACCCAUCUUUUAAACGUUAUUAGUGUUUAGAAACUGAUGAAAAGCUCCUAUAUCCAUUAGGGAAAAUUGCAAUUUGUGUCUUUCCGGUGCCUUAAUCUGAUUACAAUUAAAACAGAUGCAUAAUUAAAAUAUAUUAGGGAUAACAGCACGCCUGGCCAAACUUAUUAACCGUCCUGGGGUGUUUCAUGCUCCAUUGAAAUUAAACCAUCCAAAAAGUGAGCACAGAUUUACUUUGACAGCUUUUCAGCAGCCUCUCUGGGCUAUGGAAAGUGAAUGGAUCCCCAGGGUUAGGGCGAGGCAGUGAAUGAACUUAAGCAAAGUGGUUGAUAGUGAGGGGAGGCGAAGACAGAAUCCUCUCCUGGUCGUAAUUAGCCACAUUCUGUACUCUCUGGCGUGCCCAUUUUCCUGCUAAAAGGAGGUUCACGUCUCUUUUAAGAAAUCAUCUGAUAAUAGGUACCAGAACAUCCAGCAAACCCGUCUUAAUGCAUUUUAUGUAGAGCCUAUCAGAGGCUAGUUGAUAGAGAGCCACUGUUAGACAUACAUUUUUUCUUAACUUUUAUGCAGCAUACUGAUUUUAGCAACUACACAACAUGCUCUGAGAAAUGGUCUGUAGGAGCGAGGUGAACUUCUGUUCUCUCCAAUUUUGUGUAAUGGUGCACCUGCUAUUUCCUGCAUAUUGGUGGGAAAAGCCCUUGCUUCCAAAGAUGGGUGACUUUUUACUAAAACCAGCUCAGGGGUCAGUAUGGGCAGUUACUGGCUCUCUUGGGGGCGGUUUGAAGAGUAAGCAUUUAAACCAAGAAUAAAGAGUUUAUUUAAAAAAAGAAACUUAACUAUAGUAAUGCAACCUCUUGUAGAAACUGUGAUAAAUCAAGUGUUCCUAUUAUAUGCCUUUGUUAAUUGCUAUCUAAUCGUUAAGAAAGUACAUAUCAGUAGAACCAUUCUUUAAAAAUCAAAGCUGAAUUUGGAUAUACAUUUUUCUAUAGGUCUAAUUGUUCUUUGCUCUUGAGUCAUCAGUUAGAAGUGUUAGGACUGGACUUUGUAACUUGGAAGAAUGGUGUGAGUGUAAUGAUAAAUUAGUUGUGCUUUGAUGGUUGGCAGUUGUAAGUUUUUCAGAUGCAAUAGGUUAGAGUGUUAAAAUUUGUGACUUCCAUCUUGUAGCUACAUAGGUAAAUUGAGUAUGAUUAUUUGCCCAUAUCAUUUUAUUGAUAGCAUGCUCAAUGUGAUACAUAGUUUAUAUUGAUAUAAUGUUGAGGACCUAUAAGUGUGAAUUAUAUUUUGCUACAAAUUGAAAAGUGUAUUUUACACUGACUUAUUAGCAGAACUCCAUAUGCAAUCACAUUCUUAGAAUGUGAAAUCUUAAAAGUAGCAAACUUUGUUUUUUUUAUCCUAGAAAUUAUGAGACACAUAAAUAGGAGCACUGAACUUAUUUGUUGUAUGCACAGCCUGUUCAAGUGAUUUGUUGCCAAGAUGCAAAGAUUCAUGUUUAAAACGUUGCUUAAACUAGAUCUGUGGAUUCUGCUGCCCCCCCGGGAACUUUUGUGCAAUACAGUUCUAUAAGGAGAGGACAAUGCUGGAAGUGAAGGGAGCAGGCUUAAGGGAGAUGGCUCUUAUUCCUGACUUGCUUCACUAAAUCAUUAUUGCUGUGGUACUUCUCAAAGUUAUCAUUUCUUUUAAAUAUAGUGAUUAAGUUUACUUUAUAAACUAUAUAUAAUUUCUUUCCGUGUUUGAUGUAGCUUGGUUGAAAUUAAAUGGUAACAUGAAACUUUCUUUCAGCAAAAUCAAUUUCUCUAUGGUAAAAUUUAAUAUUUCACAAGUGUUUCUGUGCUAAACUUAAGAAUAUGCCUCUGAUGUGAUGAAACAAACAGUGGAAGAGAAGAAUUCAUAGUAUCUGAUGAAAAAUGGUGUAUGGUUUCAGCUUCAUCCUCACUCCCCUUGCCUUCAAUCUAGUAUUGAAUCUUAAGUUGUGAUUAGAGGAAAAUUGAAAUUAAAAAUAUGCAGUUUUUUUUAAGUGAUGUUGUAUGAUUCUUUAAAGGAUAUUCUCUUAUUUUCUGAAGAAAAUUUGGUGUUUAGGUCAGUGGAAAAACUUGCUGACCCAAACUUCUCUGCUUUCUUAUAUGUUUGUUGAGUUUGACAUGACAUCAUUUUUUCUUAUCCUUUUUAAUAACACUAUUAUGAGUUUCUUAUGGAGAUAACACUAUGAGAGGAGUCAGUUUACUUCAAAGCAGACAAAGGUAAACAAACCAUAACUGUUCCAAACUUCAGAAGUCUGAUUUCCCUUUACACAUGUCAUCUAAUUGGUGACAUGCGCUUUUUAUACAUAGACAAGUAAAUAAGAUAAUGCAACUUUUACAUGCUUUAAAUCCUCACAUGAGUAAAAUAAUGUAUUAGUUUGUAAAGAAAGACAAUUUGCAUGUUUGGAAGUAGAAAAUGUAUUGGUGACUCCUCUGAAAAUUUUUCUUAUUGCCCAUUUUGCAUGUGUUAAACCCAAUGAUCAUUAAUUUUACCUAUAGGUCUCUUAGCAGUAAUUGUGCAGUAAUUUUUUGAAACUUGGAGAAAUAACUACAAGGUAGAAAUAUCUACUAUGGAAUUAAAAAUACAUCAAGCUCUUAAUAAUACACUCCUAGUUAGCUUUUCAUUUGUGUAUAAAUGUAAAUCUCAGUUUUUAGAAACAGUUAAAUUUUUCUUUAUAAUGAGUUUGAUUAAUGUUACUUAAAAUGAGGAAAUGAAAUUUAAGACAUAUUAACACUUUUUUUUAAAAAAAGUGCAUUCUUUCUAAAGAUAUUCAACUAUUAUUUUUGCUUGAUCUUUUAAUGUUAUUGUUAGUUUGGAUUUUUGACCUGGUAUGAUAGGAAUCCCUUGUGAAAUAAUCACUCUGUUAACUUAUCUUUAAAAAGUUCUCUCUAAUAGACUUGUCUUUGAGCAAUCUGACAUUGUUAUCUUAAGAUUCCAAUAUGUGUAACUACUGAAGGCAGGCCUGGUAUCAGUAAAAAGCAUGUUUAGAAAGAAUUACUAUAUAAUUAAGUAAGAGAGAAGCUCUCUUUGUGUAGGUGAUUGUCUUAUCAAGUUAUUAUUAUAAGAAACCACUGUGUACAGGAGUAUUGUCUUACUCUUCAGUUUCCUUCCCAGUUUGCACUGGAAUACAAGUUAAGAGUUUAGAAAUUAUUUUAGGUGGCAUUUCAUUUUUUUUUUUUUUUUUUUUUUUUUUUUUUUUUUCCCUAAGCAUCUAGAUACUGCAUAGAGAACAAAGCAUUUCAUUUUCUAGCUAAAUUUUGGUUGUUUAGACAAAUUUAUUUGGAAAGAGUUCAUUUUGGUUCUUUGAUUAAGUAUAUCUCAUCAGUAAAUUAAAAUGAGGUGAAGUCAGUAUGAACUGCUUUACCUCCGUUGAGCCUGUCACAUGAUGUUUAUCAUAGUAAUUGACCCACAUACAGGCAUUGAAUGGACAUGUGCAAAUGCCGUAGGGAAAAUUGCCAUCUGUCUCUUAGUUGUUUUCAUACACACAUAUACAUGCACGAUCAUUAAUUUACAUUUACAUUGGUGAUUCUAUGGCCUGUUUUGUCAUUUGCACUUAGUUCUUCAAUGCUAAUGUGCCCCUAUGGUAAUACUAAACUCUCUUCUGCUGUAAUUUUGAAAUAGCAACAACCUUUUGGAUUCUGACAUGCAUUAGGAGCACAUUCAGUUUGUCUUUCUAAUCGUUUUGUUGCUGCUCAGCACACUGAAAGCAAUUUUUAAAAAUACCUGUAGUGGUACAGCUGUUUUUCAUAGGCUAAAGGUGCAUUAGCUCUAAAGCAGGCACCUUUUUAAUAUUAGGAAAGGACAAAGUUUACCCUUAAGGCCCUCGAAAAAUCUGUGGCUGACAAACCUACUUUCUUACAACUUUAUUAUACGCAUCUGAAUUUUGUGCCUAAAAUUUAUUUUACUCAUCUAAAUUUAUUAUACUUAUCUAAAUUUAUACUCGAAUAAAUAUUGGUUCUCUCUCAGGAGCAUAGUAUUGUAUCAGCUUUGGAUACUUAUUUUAAUGGCUUCACAAAAGUGACAGGUGUAGCAGCCUCCAAGGAAAGGAACAGUGGGUUAUUGAAUGUAAAGACCUCUCCUCUAUAAAUAGCUGACUUCAUUUAGGAGCUUAGUUUGUAACAAAAGUCGAGGGAUAUUUCAGCAGGACUGCAUAGCUUCUAUUUUUCUUUGGGUGAAAAAGGCAUACUAUUGUGAAUAAUUGCUGGUGUAAUUGCAUACAGUGCUAAAUAGUUUCUUUGAAGAUAUGAUUUGUAUGUGCUUUUGAGGAAUAAACUGUUAUAUUCCAUAAUUCGCUGAUUAUGAAUAUUACUAGAUAUGGCAUUCUUUGUAUAUGUGGUGCGUAACACAACUACAGCAUUGCUCACCUUGUUCACAAGCAUCACACCAAACAUGGUGCUUUCUUACCUGUACUUCAGCAGGUACUGUACAGGGUUUGAAUCUGGGAGUCUGAUGAUAGAUCUAUAAACAUGCUGAUAGGUUGACCUUUGGCUGGUGGAAUUCCACUUGAAUUUGUCUCUUUAUUGUUACCUUUUAAUUUUUUUACUCGUGCUUAUUUUUAUUGAUACUCAUCCUUAAAAUUUUUCAUUGGGACUCUGUUAGCUUCUUUUCUAAAACAUUCACUCCUGAGAUUCAUGAUUGGUACUUUGGCUUGGCCUUAUUUUGGGUCUGUCCUUACUGGUGCUUUAUUCAUACACGCGGAAGCUUUGGAAUGCCUUUUCUAAAUGCCUUUCCUACGCUCAGUUGUUUUUCUUCGAUGUCUGAAUUCUUUGGACUGAGUAGAUUUGCCUCAACUGGUCAUAGGGAUUAAAGAUUUUUGCUUCAAAGAUUUUUGGCCUUAUUUUCAAGGCAGUUAAUUCCAAAAAGAUGCGGCUCUACCAAAUUUCUAUCGCGCCCUCUUCUCUUUUUUCCCUGUUUACCUUUUCAAUCACAUUUGUCAGUUUUUUUGAUACCCAAGGUUUCUAAAAUAAAAGGUAUAAAUGUUUGUUUCAGUCUUUUAGAAGCAUUUUGGGAUUGGUUUUUUGGGUUUACAACUUUGACUUUUUUUUUUAAUGCAGGUAAAUGGGAAACAAUUAAGGAAACUUAUCUAUGUAAACCAGAGAAUUUUGAAAAAGGUGGAAGUACUGAAAUAAUUGUUUUCAGGAUUCUACAUUAAAAGUUUAUUAUCAUUUUUAGAGUAGUUUAUUUUAUUGAAGGACAUUCAUAAGUUCCGUUAAUUUGAAAAACUAGAGAUUAAUGUUUUAAAGAUGAGAUAGAGGUUUUGAUUUAUGCAUGCCUAAAAAAUUAAUAUGGAAAAGAGAUGAGAAUCGAAAAUAUGAACUUCGGAUUUAGAUUCCACUUUUGUGGAAUUAAAUGAAAUUAAAUGUGUAUUUACUUUCUUCGAAGGUUAUUUCUAUACCACAUGGCUUGAGGGUAGUGCCACUGUAUCCAUUUUAGACAUACCUUAGUAUUUGGCAGAGGAGAUGCUAUUUGCUUAUGAUGAUUCGAUAUAGGCUUUUGUUUCUUGAUUUCUUUGCUGGGGCAUUUUGUUAUGGUGGAGUGAGACCUGGUAUGAAGCGUGGCACAGCAUGUAGUUAUAGUUAAGGUGACUGUCUAAAUUACAUGAUUUCUGAAAUGAAACACACGUUAGUACCCUUGGAAUAGCAGCUGUAUGUUAGGUAUUGCUUUGUCUUUGAUGAUUAAUCUUCAUUUUCGUGAAAUUUAUUUUAAAAGUAUUCCUCAGGAGCUUUAAGUU